CCAACCUGUGUGUGCUGAGCGCUACCUGCCUCAGGGGGGGCGGGAAUUCAAUUUUGGAGGGGGGUCUGGGGCCGGCACCCGCGGUAAUUCCUGCUCCAAUAGCGUAUAUUAAAGUUGUUGCAGUUAAAAAGCUCGUAGUUGAACUUCAAGCCUGGUUGGGCGGUCCGCGGAACGGCGUGUACUGUCCGACUGGGUCUUACCUCUUGGUGAACCGGCGUGCCCUUUUUUGGGUGCGUCGGGGAACCAAGACUUUUACCUUGAGAAAAUUUUAGUGUUCAAAGCAGGCCUAUGCCUGUGUACAUUAUUGAGGAAGAAAAAAUGAAGACGUGCGGUUCUAUUUUGUUGGUUUCUAGAGUGGUCUUAAUGAUUAAAAGAAUGGAUUGGGGGCGUAGUUGUGGGUCUUUUGAUGUGAGUGUCCAGGAUUGGAUUCAUAGCGAUUAUAACAAAAUCAUUUCUCUGGGAUGUUUUUAUUUAUGAGAAAAUAAUGUAAGGGGAACAAAACAAUUGGAAACCGUCGAGGUUCUGAUAAUUAUCAUUUUGCCACUUUCUUAGA
rnacentral:rRNA from 1 species